GUGCGGCUCAUGCAACAUUUAUGAAGGGUCCACACUCCAGGCCCCUCUUGAAGGAAGGACAAAAACUAACAAUGGAUCGCACCGAAACAAAAAGAUACAGCAAAGAACUUGACGCGUAAAAAUUGUCACAAAGUGUAAAUAGAAAAUGAAAUUGAAAUGCCACGCCGAGAUUUAAUUAAAUUUCUGGCCGGCCGACGAGACAAACAACGGAGUGGCCAAAAACUGCCCACAAAUAGCCAACACACGUAUACGUAAAUAGAAAUAAAACUUGUGUAUGCACUUUUGUUAGUCUGGUAUAAAU
ensembl:ncRNA lncRNA:CR44646 long non-coding RNA:CR44646